ACAAAUAGCACAAUAAACAUCCUUCCAUAUGCUUCCUUGUGCAUAGGUGUGACUGCUUCUUUACACAUUUACAUCACAUGCUUUGUGCUGAAGUAUGUUAAGCACGGAGUCUUCUACACCAGCUUCCUGGAUAAAAGUGAUUUUAAACCCUGGCCUUGGACCACUGGAUUAGGCUUCAUCAAAGAAAAGUAGUUGAGGUAGGAAGGAUAUAUACAGUAGUUGUAAUGUGUCCUCUUUCAAACCCUAGAUUUCCACCUUCCAAAUUUAGAAGUUUA
rnacentral:lncRNA from 1 species